GACGAACGCUGGCGGCGUGCUUAACACAUGCAAGUCGAACGAAGUGGCGAACGGGUGAGUAACGCGUAAUCAACCUGCCCUUCAGAGGGGGACAACAGUUGGAAACGACUGCUAAUACAGAAUACUGUAGGAGGGGAUUGCGUCUGAUUAGCUAGUUGGAGGGGUAACGGCCCCCCAAGGCGAUGAUCAGUAGCCGGGCUGUGAGGAUGACCGGCCACAUUGGGACUGGGACACGGCCCAGACGCCUACGGGGGGCAGCAGUGGGGAAACAUCCGCAAUGGACGAAAGUCUGACGGAGCAACGCCGCGUGAGUGAUGACGGCCUUCGGGUUGGAAAGCUCUGUUAAUCGGGACGCGGUACCGGAAUAGAAAGCCACGGCUAACUAAGUGCCAGCAGCCGCGGUAAUAC
rnacentral:rRNA from 1 species